UGAGGAACCUGCCUCAAAGAGGGGGACAACAGUUCCAUACGACUGCUAAUACCGCAUAAGCCCACAGCUCGGCAUCGAGCAGGGGGAAAAGGAGUGAUCCGCUUUGAGAUGGCCUCGCGUCCGAUUAGCUAGUUGGUGGGGUAACGGCCCACCAAGGCGACGAUCGGUAGCCGGACUGAGAGGUUGAACGGCCACAUUGGGACUGAGACACGGCCCAGACUCCUACGGGAGGCAGCAGUGGGGAAUAUUGCACAAUGGGGGAAACCCUGAUGCAGCGACGCCGCGUGGAGGAAGAAGGUCUUCGGAUUGUAAACUCCUGUUGUUGAGGAAGAUAAUGACGGUACUCAACAAGGAAGUGACGGCUAACUACGUGCCAGCAGCCGCGGUAAAACGUAGGUCACAAGCGUUGUCCGGAAUUACUGGGUGUAAAGGGAGCGCAGGCGGGAGAACAAGUUGGAAGUGAAAUCCAUGGGCUCAACCCAUGAACUGCUUUCAAAACUGUUUUUCUUGAGUAGUGCAGAGGUAGGCGGAAUUCCCGGUGUAGCGGUGGAAUGCGUAGAUAUCGGGAGGAACACCAGUGGCGAAGGCGGCCUACUGGGCACCAACUGACGCUGAGGCUCGAAAGUGUGGGUAGCAAACAGGAUUAGAUACCCUGGUAGUCCACACCGUAAACGAUGAUUACUAGGUGUUGGAGGAUUGACCCCUUCAGUGCCGCAGUUAACACAAUAAGUAAUCCACCU
rnacentral:rRNA from 1 species